rnacentral:rRNA from 1 species
UGGGGAAUAUUGCACAAUGGGCGCAAGCCUGAUGCAGCCAUGCCGCGUGUGUGAAGAAGGCCUUCGGGUUGUAAAGCACUUUCAGCGGGGAGGAAGGCGUUAAGGUUAAUAACCUUGGCGAUUGACGUUACCCGCAGAAGAAGCACCGGCUAACUCCGUGCCAGCAGCCGCGGUAAUACGGAGGGUGCAAGCGUUAAUCGGAAUUACUGGGCGUAAAGCGCACGCAGGCGGUCUGUCAAGUCGGAUGUGAAAUCCCCGGGCUCAACCUGGGAACUGCAUUCGAAACUGGCAGGCUAGAGUCUUGUAGAGGGGGGUAGAAUUCCAGGUGUAGCGGUGAAAUGCGUAGAGAUCUGGAGGAAUACCGGUGGUGAAGGCGGCCCCCUGGACAAAGACUGACGCUCAGGUGCGAAAGCGUGGGGAGCAAACAGG